AUGCAAGGCGCUCAAUCAAGAUUGCGAGAGCGCAUCGAGAACCUCUCCAUCGACUUUCGUCACUCCGGAGCAAGGAAAAGGGACUACAUCGACAACAAGCUUUCCGCACAAAAGGAGGAGCAAGAUGCAAGUAUGGAGGAGAUUCGGACCUUGUUGAUCAACCAUUCUUCCCCUUCAUCAUCCUCAAGGCGGCGAUGUUCAAGUCACAAGUCUUCGGAGCGCAAAAAUGAUGCAAUCGCAAGUCAUCAACGUCCGCAUCUCCAUGGCGACCACCAUCACGUUCGUGAUCCACCUCGUCAUGAAGGGCAAGUCAUCUCAAAGCAACAUGUGCACGACGACGACGAACGACAUCUACUACAAGCUCAAGUGCGACAAUGA
rnacentral:rRNA from 1 species